rnacentral:lncRNA from 1 species
GAGCCACUGCGCCUGGCCAAGUUUUAUUUGAAUGACUCAUUAUUUACUGGACCACAUCAUAAUUCUAUGGUUAACUUUUUGAACAACAGCCAAUCUGUUUUCCAUAGCAGCUGCACUAUUUUACAUGCCUUCCAGCCAUGUAUGAGGGUUUGAAUUCCUCAAAGUUCUUGUCAACACUUACUUUCCUUCUUAGAAAUGUAUUCUUAUACUCAUCCUUGUGGUGUGUAGUGGUAUCUCAUUGUGGUUUUGAUUUGCAAUUCCCUAAUGACUAGUCAAAUCUAAGAACACAAAGAUUUAUCCCUAUGUUUUCAUCUAAGAGUUUUAUGGUUUUAGCCCUUAUAUUUAGGUUACCACAACUAACAUCAUACACAAUGGUGAAAGACUAAAAUCUUUUCCCCUAUGAUCAGGUGGAAGACCACUGAGUAUCAUGUUAGCUGUGGGCUUUUCAUAAAUGUUCUUUAUCACGUUGAAGAAGUCCCCUUCUAUUCCUAGUUUGCUGAGUGUUUUUAUCAUGAAAGGGUAUUAGAUUUUGCCAAAUGACUUUUCUGCAUUAAAUGAGAUGAUUGUUGGGACAGGGUCUCACCCUGUCACC